rnacentral:lncRNA from 13 species
CUCUCAUGAGGGGCCUCUGGGUCCUGCUGUCCUCGUCCUGCCCUGCCCUGUGCUCCCUGGUGACCCCAGGCCCAGCCCUUGUGCCUUAUCCCCAGGGACUCCUCACGCUGCUACCUGGCCUCACUCUCGGGAUUCAAGGUGAGCAGCUUGCUACUUGAGGCCACCUAUGGUAAGACCCCUUCAACACCCUCUGGCUCCAGGCUGUCCCUGGAAGUCUCACACCUGCCUUACCCCAGCGACAAGGGCAGCUGCGUGCUGGAUACCCUAGCUCACUCUGCCCAGAUCACCUCCUCCAUCUCACCUGUGGUGCGGUCUCCACCUGGUCCUAGUUCAGGCUUCCUCCAUCCCCCACUCUGAGGCUCCUCCUACUCCCAGCCUUUAACCCCCUGAGGUCUGACGAGGAGGAGGAGGAGAGAGGGGAAAAUGCCUGCUCACCUCCACAUUGUCACGGGAACAAACCAUCCCACAGGGACCGGCACUUGUAAGCCAUUGUUGUACGUGCUUGGCACAUUAGAAAUCCAGAGGGCAGAAUGCCUCCCUCUCUCCACUACAAAGAAAGAUAGUCAGACAGGUCAGAGCGAGUGAACAACACACCUCGGUGUCUUCUUUAACAAAUCCCUGGCAACUAAGCUUCCUCACAACAAACAAAUGGACAAGUGCCAUUCAGCAGCCACUCCCGGCUGGUGUUAGGUCAGUGCCGGCCAGAGGCUCAGGUUUUUACGGAAAGCAGGUUGCAGUGGCUUGGGCUCGAGAGUGUAAUUGAUGGAAACACUCAAGCACCUGAAGGCCAUUCAUUUGCCUCCAACCUCGAGCCUCUUAGCCAGGGAUACAGAGAGAGGAGGAGGUGAGCUCUGUCUGUUACCUCUUGAUUUCCCCGUCUAAGAGCCGAGUUUUCUUCAUCUGCUGCCUUGGGAACUCAGCUGGGCCCUUUUGCUGGAGCAGGACAUGCACGGUGGGUUUGGUUUCCCGGGCAGCAGGCUGAGUCUGCAGGAUGGUUAUUCAAGAACAAUGGAGGAGGAAGCUGGAGUGGCUGCGGGAGAGCCUGGCCAGGGAAGCCCUCAGAGCUGUCCUGAGUGGGCUGGGGCGGCCAGCCCUGGUUUCUCUCCAGCACAGACCUUUGGCUGUGGACCCUCAGAGGAGGGUGUCUCUGUGGGCAGGGCUCUUUGCAGCUGAGGUGUCCUGGAGCCAGCUGCCAGCAGCAGGUAACGUUGUCUACCGUCAGAGCUGGGGAUCCACCAUGUGGCCGUGUUGCUCGGGGCUGGCCUCACUGACCCUCCAGGGUGGACGGGAUGUGAGCCUUGGCCUCCAUGUCCUCACUUCCCAAGUCCUAGCCAGUACAUUCAAGUUCCCUCCGUCUGCUCAGAGAACUCUUACUCAUACCAUAAGACCGAGGUCAAACAUCACCUCUGCUGCGCUGCCCCUCUCUGACAGCCACGUCUCCAGCUCCGGAGCUCCAUUCCCCCGCAGGGCUCCACAGCGCCUCCUUCCUACCUAUCCUGGAAUUUACAUCCUUCCUAUGGAAACAAUGUCUUGCCAAGUCCACUCCCCGCCUUGCACUCACCAGGAGUCCCCUGGGAUCAGACACUGUCUUUUCUUUCUCCUUUCAUCCUUGGUCCCCAGUGCCAAGCCUGGAACGUGGAGGCGGCUGCUGACUUUGCUGAAUGAAUGUAGGAGGAAGGCAAAGGGAAGGAAGGGAGGCUCCGUCAGCUGCCCAGGAGCUGCUCUGGUGGCUCCCAGCAGGCUUCGGGGCAAGCACUCCUGGACCGAGAGGAGGCUGUGA